rnacentral:rRNA from 1 species
UAGGGAAUCUUCCGCAAUGGACGCAAGUCUGACGGAGCAACGCCGCGUGAGUGAAGAAGGAUUUCGGUUCGUAAAACUCUGUUGUUAGAGAAGAACAGCGCAUAGAGUAACUGUUAUGCGUGUGACGGUAUCUAACCAGAAAGCCACGGCUAACUACGUUCCAGCAGCCGCGGUAAUACGUAGGUGGCAAGCGUUGUCCGGAUUUAUUGGGCGUAAAGCGAGCGCAGGCGGUCAAUUAAGUCUGAUGUGAAAGCCCCCGGCUCAACCGGGGAGGGUCAUUGGAAACUGGUUGACUUGAGUGCAGAAGAGGAGAGUGGAAUUCCAUGUGUAGCGGUGAAAUGCGUAGAUAUAUGGAGGAACACCAGUGGCGAAGGCGACUCUCUGGUCUGUAACUGACGCUGAGGUUCGAAAGCGUGGGUAGCAAACAGG